rnacentral:rRNA from 1 species
UGAGGAAUCUUGCGCAAUGGGGGAAACCCUGACGCAGCAACGCCGCGUGAGUGAGGAAGGUAUUCGGGUCGUAAAGCUCUGUCAGGCGGGAAGAAAUGCAUGGAGGUGAACAGCCGCCAUGCUUGACGGUACCGCCAGAGGAAGCACCGGCUAACUCCGUGCCAGCAGCCGCGGUAAUAAGGGGGGUGCAAGCGUUGUUCGGAAUCAUUGGGAGAAAAGAGCGUGUAGGCAGCUUGGUAAGUCAGAUGUGAAAACCCUGGGCUCAAACCGAGAAUUGCAUUUGAAACUGCCGGGCACGAGUAAGAGAGAGGGAAGGGGAAUAACUGGAGUAGAGGGGAAAAGCGUAGAUAUGAGGAGGA